GACGAACGCUGGCGGCGUGCUUAACACAUGCAAGUCGAACGGCAAGGCACUGCUUUUGUGGGGUGCCCGAGUGGCGAACGCGUGCGUAACACGUGUGUAACCUGCCCUUGACUUUCGGAUGACUUCAGGAAACUGGGGCUACUAUCGGAUAGGAUACGCUGCUGCAUGGAGAGGGUUGGAACGUUUCGGCGGUCGGGGAUGGAUUAGCGGAUUAUGAGCUAGUUGGUGGGGUAGUGGCUUACCCACGCAUUGAAGGGUCGCCGGCCUGAGAGGGUGACCGGCCACAUUGGGACUGAGAGACGGACCAGACUCCUACGGGAGGCAGCAGUGGGGAAUAUGGCACAGUGGGCGGAAGCCUGAUGCAGCAACGCCGCGGGCGGGAUGACGGCCUGCGGGGUGUGAACCGCUUUCGCCUGUGACGAAGCGUGAGUGACGGUAAUGGGUAAAGAAGCACCGGCUAACUACGUG
rnacentral:rRNA from 1 species